CCGUGUUAUUCCACAUAGCCAUAAUGCAUUUUUCUCAUUUUUGGCCUGGUCAGCUGGAGCAUGGAUAGAAAGGAUCCUGUCUUUAGUAGGACAUCUGUGUUCACACCUCUGUGAUGAUGUCAUUUAUCCACUGGAAGGGGUUAGCCAUGAUGUCAUAUCAUAUCUUUCUGGGUGGUCUUGGACUUGUGCUUUGCCUUAUUCUGGAUUAAGUACUGAGCAUAAACCUGUAGGGAUUCGGGAUACCUUCAGGGGUCUGGUGAUAUGCAAUAUUUUAACUGGAAAUAUUCAAUUAAACAUUAAGCUU